CAGCUUGUUAUCGACCUGAGUCUCUGGUAUUAAGGUUUCCAGCAGCAGCUUCGUCGGGUUCUUGGUCAUCGCAGGCGAUUAGAGGAAGAGGGCGUUUCUUGAUUUCCAAUAGCUACCUCUGUUCCGACAGCAAGUUGUCUUUGCUAUGGAUUUGUUGGGCUGUGGAUUAAGGACUGUGACGCGAGAUGAGCAACUCGAC